rfam:Absidia glauca strain CBS 101.48 genome assembly, contig: contig_3330
AGCUUGUUAGCUCAGGGGAAGAGCGAUGGGCCCAUAACCCAUAGGUCGGAGGAUCGAAACUUCCACAAGCUA